rnacentral:rRNA from 1 species
AAUGAACGCUGGCGGCAUGCCUAACACAUGCAAGUCGAACGAAGCCUUCGGGCUUAGUGGCGCACGGGUGCGUAACGCGUGGGAAUCUGCCCUUGGGUUCGGAAUAACAGUGGGAAACUACUGCUAAUACCGAAUGAUGUCGCAAGGCCAAAGAUUUAUCGCCCAGGGAUGAGCCCGCGUAGGAUUAGCUAGUUGGUGUGGUAAAAGCGCACCAAGGCGACGAUCCAGCUGGUCUGAGAGGAUGAUCAGCCACACUGGGACUGAGACACGGCCCAGACUCCUACGGGAGGCAGCAGUGGGGAAUAUUGGACAAUGGCGAAAGCCUGAUCCAGCAAUGCCGCGUGAGUGAUGAAGGCC